ACAUUCUUGUACAUAACUUUCUUUGAAGUCCUACCUCAUGAAUUCAACAAUUGUGACUCAAGAUUAUUGAAAGUGAUAUUUUUACUUCUUGGGUUUGCUGCAGUGACUGCCAUUGUUUACUUCGGUCACUGAGAAAAGUGGGCCACAGUGCAGAGCUAAAUAAAGUAAUUCAAAGAAUAUAAAAUUAAAGGAUUUGUAGAAAUUUGUGAUGCAGUAUGAAUGCUAUGAUGCAAGACUGUCAAAAUCAACAUUUAUCAUGGUUAUAUUAUCAUAAAAAUGUACUAGUACAUGUAUUUUAUUUUAGAAAUGUUAAUAUUGAUUUCGAAAUGUACAAUAACAGCAUUUAAUUAAUGUUCUCUAAGAUCUGAUAAUAUAGGGUGCUCUUAUUUACUUGUAAGUUGUAAUAUAUUAAAAGUUUUGGAUAUUUUUUAAGUUACAUGUGUAUGGUAUGUGGCAUUAUACAGCUUUCUUUAUUUUCAAUUUUUAAAAUAACAUCGUAACAUUUCUUUAUGCAAAAGUCAGUCAAGUGCAUAAUAUUCAAUCUCUCUAUCAUAAUAUUUCUUAUUCAUAUGUUAAACAUUGACUGUUUCUAUAUCUAAACUGUAUAGAUUAUCAUGAUUUAAUUGACUGGUAUUAUGGUAUUAUGCAUGCCUUGUAACUUAUACUUCUCUAUUAUAAUAUUAAUCUUUGUUAUUCGUGUUAUCUAUCGCAGUGUACAUGUGGUUGUAGCACUCUGAAAGGAUGCAAUUGUUGAUCUGUUAAUGGGAUUACCAUUGGUUUGAAUUCUUGUUACAUGAUAUGCAUAAUCUACUCUGUAUUGGUUAAAUGUAUGUUAUAUUUUAUAAAUAUUUAUAUAGAUAAUAAAUGCUAUC
rnacentral:misc_RNA from 1 species